GGACAAUCUGCCCUGAAGUGGAGGAUAAUCCCGGGAAACUGGGGGUAAUACUCCAUAGUUCGUGCUGACUGGAAUGUUAUGCGAACGAAAGAUCCGUCGCUUCAGGAUGAGUCUGCGGCCGAUUAGGUAGUUGUUGGGGUAACGGCCCAACAAGCCUGUCAUCGGUACGGGUUGUGGGAGCAAGAGCCCGGAGAUGGAUUCUGAGAUACGAAUCCAGGCCCUACGGGGCGCAGCAGGCGCGAAAACUUUACCAUGCGGGCAACCGUGAUAAGGAAACCCCGAGUGCCAGCACAGGCUGGCUGUCCGCCAGUGUAAAUAACUGGUGAAGAAAGGGCCGGGCAAGGCCGGUGCCAGCCGCCGCGGUAAUACCGGCGGCUCGAGUGGUGGCCACUAUUACUGGGCUUAAAGGGUCCGUAGCUUGAUAUGCAAGUCUCUUGAGAAAUCCGCCAGCUUAACUGGUGGGCGUUCAGGGGAAACUGCAUUUCUAGGGACCGGGAGAGGUGAGAGGUACUGCCGGGGUAGGAGUGAAAUCCUGUAAUCCCGGUGGGACCACCUAUGGCGAAGGCAUCUCACCAGAACGGGUCCGACAGUGAGGGACGAAAGCUGGGGGAGCAAACCGGAUUAGAUACCCGGGUAGUCCCAGCUGUAAACGAUGCGCGUUAGGUGUGUCAGUGACCACGUGUCACUGAGGUGCCGAAGGGAAACCGUGAAACGCGCCGCCUGGGGAGUACGGUCGCAAGGCUGAAACUUAA
rnacentral:rRNA from 1 species